GGCGGCGCGCCUAACACAUGCAAGUCGAACGAGCGAGAGGAGGUUUACUUUCUCAAGCGAGUGGCGAACGGGUGAGUAACGCGUGAGGAACCUGCCUCAAAGAGGGGGACAACAGUUGGAAACGACUGCUAAUACCGCAUAAGCCCACGACCCGGCAUCGGGUAGAGGGAAAAGGAGCAAUCCGCUUUGAGAUGGCCUCGCGUCCGAUUAGCUAGUUGGUGAGGUAACGGCCCACCAAGGCGACGAUCGGUAGCCGGACUGAGAGGUUGAACGGCCACAUUGGGACUGAGACACGGCCCAGACUCCUACGGGAGGCAGCAGUGGGGAAUAUUGCACAAUGGGGGAAACCCUGAUGCAGCGACGCCGCGUGGAGGAAGAAGGUCUUCGGAUUGUAAACUCCUGUUGUUGAGGAAGAUAAUGACGGUACUCAACAAGGAAGUGACGGCUAACUACGUGCCAGCAGCCGCGGUAAAACGUAGGUCACAAGCGUUGUCCGGAAUUACUGGGUGUAAAGGGAGCGCAGGCGGGAAGACAAGUUGGAAGUGAAAUCCAUGGGCUCAACCCAUGAACUGCUUUCAAAACUGUUUUUCUUGAGUAGUGCAGAGGUAGGCGGAAUUCCCGGUGUAGCGGUGGAAUGCGUAGAUAUCGGGAGGAACACCAGUGGCGAAGGCGGCCUACUGGGCACCAACUGACGCUGAGGCUCGAAAGUGUGGGUAGCAAACAGGAUUAGAUACCCUGGUAGUCCACACUGUAAACGAUGAUUACUAGGUGUUGGAGGAUUGACCCCUUCAGUGCCGCAGUUAACACAAUAAGAAAUCCACCUGGGGAGUACGACCGCA
rnacentral:rRNA from 1 species